rnacentral:rRNA from 1 species
CCUACGGGUGGCAGCAGUGAGGAAUAUUGGUCAAUGGGCGCGAGCCUGAACCAGCCACGUAGCGUGAAGGAUGACUGCCCUACGGGUUGUAAGCUUCUUUUAUAAGGGAGUAGAAUGAGACGCGUGUGUCUUUUUGUAUGUACGUUAUGAAUAAGGAUCGGCUAACUCCGUGCCAGCAGCCGCGGUCAUACGGAGGAUCCGAGCGUUAUCCGGAUUUAUUGGGUGGAAAGGGUGCGUAGGUGGGUUGUUAAGUCAGUUGUGAAAGUUCGCUGCUCAACAGUAAAACUGCAACUGAUACUGGUAGACUUGAGUGCAGGUGAGGAAGGCGGAAUUCGUGGUGUAGCGGUGAAAUGCUUAGAUAUCACGAAGAACACCGAUGGCGAAGGCAGCUUGCUAAACUGUCACUGACACUGAGGCUCGAAAGUGUGGGGAGCAAACAGGAUUAGAUACCCUAGUAGUC